rnacentral:rRNA from 1 species
GACGAACGCUGGCGGCGUGCUUAACACAUGCAAAUCGAACGAAGAGAGAUGGAAGCUUGCUUCUAUCAAUCUUAGUGGCGAACGGGUGAGUAACGCGUAAUCAACCUGCCCUUCAGAGGGGGACAACAGUUGGAAACGACUGCUAAUACCGCAUACGAUCCAAUCUCGGCAUCGAGAGUGGAUGAAAGGUGGCCUCUAUUAAUAAGCUAUCACUGAAGGAGGGGAUUGCGUCUGAUUAGCUAGUUGGAGGGGUAACGGCCCACCAAGGCGAUGAUCAGUAGCCGGUCUGAGAGGAUGAACGGCCACAUUGGGACUGAGACACGGCCCAGACUCCUACGGGAGGCAGCAGUGGGGAAUCUUCCGCAAUGGACGAAAGUCUGACGGAGCAACGCCGCGUGAGUGAUGACGGCCUUCGGGUUGUAAAGCUCUGUUAAUCGGGACGAAUGGUUCUUGUGCGAAUAGUGCGAG